rnacentral:rRNA from 1 species
AUUGAACGCUGGCGGCAGGCCUAACACAUGCAAGUCGAACGAGUGGCGGACGGGUGAGUAAUGGCUGGGGAACUGCGUGAGGGAGGGGGAUAACUAAUGGAAACGGUAGCUAAUACAGCAUACCAAAGGAGGUGCCCGGAUGGGAUUAGCUAGUAGGUGGGGUAACGGCGCACCUAGGCGACGAUCCCUAGCUGGUCUGAGAGGAUGACCAGCCACACUGGAACUGAGACACGGUCCAGACUCCUACGGGAGGCAGCAGUAGGGAAUAUUGCACAAUGGGCGCAAGCCUGAUGCAGCCAUGCCGCGUGUAUGAAGAAGGCCUUCGGUUUGUAAAGUUCUUUCAUCGGUGAGGCGUUACCCGCACAAAAAGCACCGGCUAACUCCGUGCCAGCAGCCGCGGUAAUAC